UCCCUGGUGGCUCAGACAGUAAAGAAACUGUCUGCAAUGCAGGAGACCUGGGUUCGAUCCCUAGGUAGGGAA
rnacentral:tRNA from 1 species